UUAGAUAUUGCGUCUGAAGGGAGGGAACACAGACAGUGAGCAAGCCCAACCUUGUGACAAGCCUCAAACCAAGCUUAAUGAGCCAAGCGAGAGACCUGCUCUGUGUCACUGUGUCUUGAAGUAGCUGAGAAAAUAGGUCUGAAAGCACAGCUGAUACCAACACCCUUAUCCCAGCAGCCAUGUAGGACCAGCCUUGUGUCCUGGACUGAAUCCAGAGUAAACAAGCACCCUGAUGGAAAUGCUCCAUAAACACCCAGAAUCUGGAGACAUUCUUAACUUGCAGGAUGCCAAGUUUUUUCUGUGAAGAAAAAAAAGCCCUAUUCUAUUUGACAUGAAGCUAUUUUAUUGGAUGAAAGAUUUAGAUAUGGAAAAUUUCAAGCAAAUUAUUUUAUGAAGAGAGUUGGGGAGUUCUAUGCAGAUGUUUAAAAAAUAUUUGUUUUUUUUUUUUUUUUUAAAAACCCAUUCUUUUUGUUAUACUGUGUAGGAUACACAUAAGGCCAAAUCUCUG
rnacentral:lncRNA from 14 species